rnacentral:rRNA from 1 species
UGAUGCAGCCAUGCCGCGUGUAUGAAGAAGGCCUUCGGGUUGUAAAGUACUUUCAGCAGUGAGGAAGGCAGGUACGUUAAUAGCGUGCUUGUUUGACGUUAGCUGCAGAAGAAGCACCGGCUAACUCCGUGCCAGCAGCCGCGGUAAUACGGAGGGUGCGAGCGUUAAUCGGAAUUACUGGGCGUAAAGCGCAUGCAGGUGGUUUGUUAAGUCAGAUGUGAAAGCCCGGGGCUCAACCUCGGAAUUGCAUUUGAAACUGGCAGACUAGAGUACUGUAGAGGGGGUAGAAUUUCAGGUGUAGCGGUGAAAAUGCGUAGAGAUCUGAAGGAAUACCGGUGGCGAAGGCGGCCCCCUGGACAGAUACUGACACUCAGAUGCGAAAGCGUGGGGAGCAAACAGGAUUAGAUACCCUGGUAG